UUACUUUUGCAUCACAUAUACUAAAACUGGAAUGAUAUGGAAAUUAGCAUGGCCCCAGUGUAAAGAUGACAUAUAAAUUUUUGAAUUGUUCUAUAUUGUA
rnacentral:snRNA from 1 species